rnacentral:rRNA from 1 species
UACGUAGGGUGCGAGCGUUAAUCGGAAUUACUGGGCGUAAAGCGUGCGCAGGCUGUUUUGUAAGUCAGAUGUGAAAUCCCUGGGCUCAACCUAGGAACUGCGUUUGAAACUACAAGACUAGAAUAUGUCAGAGGGGGGUAGAAUUCCACGUGUAGCAGUGAAAUGCGUAGAGAUGUGGAGGAAUACCAAUGGCGAAGGCAGCCCCCUGGGAUAAUAUUGACGCUCAUGCACGAAAGCGUGGGGAGCAAACAGG